rnacentral:rRNA from 1 species
GACGAACGCUGGCGGCGUGCCUAAUACAUGCAAGUCGAACGCAGUGGGGACGGGGGAGUAACACGUGGGUAACCUCCCAUCAGAGGGGAUAACACUUGAAAACAGGUGCUAAACCGAUACUGAUGGAUGGACCAGCGGUGCAUUAGCAAGGUGGUGAGGUAACGGCGCACCAAGGCCACGAUGCAUAGCCGAUCUGAGAGGGGGAUCGGCCACACUGGAACUGAGACACGGCCCAGACUCCUACGGGAGGCAGCAGUGGGGAAUAUUCGGCAAUGGACGAAAGUCUGACCUAGCAACGCCGCGUGAGUGAAGAAGGUUUUCGGAUCGUAAAGCUCUUUUGUUAGAGAAGCGUUACCUACCCAGAAAGCAACGGCUAACUACGUGCCAGCAGCCGCGGUAAUAC